CCCCAGUCUCAAAUGUAAGGAAGGAUCUUACAGAGUGGCAAGAAAAACACGCCAAGCUUGUACUUUCAACAGUUAAGGAAAUAUCAAAGUUAAGAUUCGAGUUGUGCCCGCGUGUUAUGAGAGAGAGGAAAUUCUGGAGGAUAUACUUUAUACUGGUAAACAGUCAUAUUGCACUGUACGAGAAGCAGUAUAUGGAAGAGGUUGAGCGAAAAGCUUAAGAAAAAGUUGUCGAUAAAAAAGUGAAGGAAUCUUUAAACAUUGAAAUGACAUCUGAACCACAGGCAAAGGGAACAAAGCAGCACGGUAAAAGUUCGACCUCAGUUUCUGAGCAAGACCUGGAUGUGUUUCUUCUGGGUGGUGACAGUGAUGAAGGCCCUGAGGAUGAAGAUGAGGGCUUUGAUGAUGCUUUUGGUAAAAUGGCUGACAGUUCGGAUGAUGAGGUCAAAUCAUAGAAGAUCCGGAAACCGUUCUCGACAUGGUGAAUCAUUGGUAUUAGAUCUGAAAGAAAGAUGCCUGGAUGUUGCUGAUUAUAACAUUUUCAGUAGAAUAAAGGGGACUGACAGGUGAUUCAUAUAUCAUAAGAAACCAUUGGUGUUUCUUCUUUUCUUUUCUUUUUAUUUGCUUAUUCUCGUUUAGGAAAGAGGUCAAGACAUGGCAAUUCAUGCAUCAAUGUUAUGUUCAUAUAUAUAUAUAUUAUUAUUAUAACCGAUUAUAAAAUUAUAUAAGUUUUGACAGAUUAAUAAUUCGUAU